AUUGAACGCUGGCGGUAGGCCUAACACAUGCAAGUCGAACGGCUGCACAGUGCUAGCUUCCUCUUACGGGUGGCGACUGGCGGACGGUUCCUAGAUACCUCGGAGUCUGCUUUUUCUUACGUGCUGACGUAGGCACAUUUACGCUAUUCCCUCAUACGCCUUACGGGUGGAAGCAUCGGAUCUUCCGUUCUUACGCGAUUCUAUGAGCCUAUGUCGGAUUAGCUAGUUGGCGGGGUAAAGGCCCACCAAGGCGACGAUGCGUAGCUGGUCUGAGAGGAUGAUCAGUCACACUGGAACUGAGACACGGUCCAGACUCCUACGGGAGGCAGCAGUGGGGAAUAUUGGACAAUGGGCGAAAGCCUGAUCCAGCCAUGCCGCGUGUGUGAAGAAGGUCUUCGGAUUGUAAAGCACUUUAAGUGGGGAGGAAAGGCAGUAAGUUAAUACCUUGCUGUUUUGACGGUACCAACAGAAUAAGCACCGGCUAACUUCGUG
rnacentral:rRNA from 1 species